AAUUGAAGGCUUUUGAAAAGUCGAGAAAAAUACCACAAGUAAAUAAAUUAUUAUCAAUUGCUUUUGCAGGAUAAGAUGUCUUCACUUACAGUACACAUUACAAAUUAAAUUGAGUCUUGCCUUGCCCAGAGAAGUGACAGAUUGAUAAAUGGAGUAGUUGCAAYCAAGGAGGAUUUGAAGACAUUAAAGUCUACUUUAAGAGAUGUAAAGAAACGUUUUAAAGAUCAACUUAGCAGUGCCAAUAGUUACACAUGGAUAAUACCUGACUACCCCACUUUAUGCAAGAAAUAUGCCUGUGCCUCAAGCUUCCAAAGUCCUUUUGUUUUCCUGGUUAUGUGGUUACAGACUUAGAUUAUCAGCAUCCCCUAAUGGAGAUAGAGAAACAAGUCAUUCAUUCCUCUCUUUAUACCUAAGAUUAUAUGAAGACCAUUUGCUGACAUCUGGUGAUGUUCAUGUGGUGCCCAGCAGUGAAGCCACUAUAGGUUUCAGGUAGUGCCACACACCCACCAGUAUCCAAACCUGCCUUUUAACGUGGGGCAUGGGUUAUAUUGUUGAUAAAUAUCAAAAGCUAAAAAAUAAACACCAGCUUCUCAGCAGACAAUGUCUGUCCAACAUUGGUCAAAUGCCUCUUUUAGACUGGACAAACCAAUGAGUCACAUGUGGCCAUUCAUUAUGCAUGGCCUAGUCAAAGGUCGAACCCUGAAACAACCUCUGGGCAAAUCUAAGUCAGGGCACAGCUAACUCAAAGAUUGAACCAUAAAACAACCUCUGGGCUGAUCAAAGUCAGGGCAUGGCUAACUCACAAAUUGAACCCUGAAACAAUCUCUGUGCUGAUCUUAGUCAUGGCACAGUCAACUCAUUGAAUUUGAAUUUUCAUGUCUAGGUUUAUAAAGAGGGAGUAAAAAACUGAGAAUCCAGAGGAAACCCAAUCAAACUAAAACCCAAUCAACCUAUAACAAACUUUUUGAACUGAAUGGUUAUUUUCAUACCAGCUUUCAUAAAACUUUUUACCAGAUUAACUGUGAUCAGCCAAGUGCAUGGUGUCAAUGACGUCAGUCAAAAAAGACGGAAGAGUGCUACUAUAGUCAAAUUUUAUUCUUCAAAUUUUACUAUUAAAGAUCUUGUUAAUUAAAGUACA